ensembl:lncRNA
UUAAGAAACAGUGUUUAUUGAAAAAUAUGUUCACCCAGGAUACAAAUUCUACAAUUUUUUAAAAUGAAACAUCUCUUGUACAGUCAUUCUUAAUAAUUCAUGAUUUUUUCAAGAUGGAAAAAAACUGAAACUGGAUAUUGCAAAAAAUUAGUAUAUCCAAGUCACUGUUUUACUACUUUGUAUGUAAUUUAUGAAUCAAGCCAAAAUUUUAGAAUUUAAAUUUGUGGAAUAGUCAAGUCUCAAUACUUGUGUUAGGGCAGAAGCAGAACCACUAAACCCUGAGUCAUUUUAGUCCUUGAUUGUGUAUUAAUGCGCGUCUGGAACAUUCACUGCUAUGGGCUUUGCCUCAGGUCUCUAUUUCCAACUUGGCCAUUAAGCCUGUGAAAGAAUAUCCUAUCACAUUUUGUUUAUGCAACAGUAGAAAUAAAGUCUCCUUGAAAUCUUAAUUUUUUUUCCCUUGCUGUUCAAAAAUAUUCUUAGAGGGAUGUGUGUGUGUAUACUCUUUGAGGGAUUGAUAAGCAAGAGUAUUGGAGUGGGGUGCCAUUGCCUUCUCCAGGGUUCUCACUAGUUAUCUAUUUUAUACAUAGUAGUGUAUAUAUAUGUCAAUUCCAAUCUCCCAAUUCAUCCCAUCCCCCCUUCCUCUUUAGUACUAUACUGACUUACUACUUUUGUAUUUUUGCAUUUUCUGCUGGUUUUCUCAACUGGCAAUAAGACCAGCACAAGACCCCUCUCCUCCUCUACUGGUACACUGCAUUGCACUGCCUCUCCUUCACUCAGGGAAGGAAAUUGCUUCCUCUCUUCUGCAUCCAUAUCCCUGUCAGUAACACAACUGUUACAGCAUCCUGAAAGCUGGCGGUUAGUCUUCAGUCCUUGGGAUGGCAAAUCCUCAUGGCUGAGCCUCUGUUCCUAAAAGAUCUCCUGCACUUGAACUUUACGACAGCACACUGGUCUGAUUUCCCUAACACUUUUCAAGCAACUCCGUCUCAAUCUCUCUGACUUGUUCAUCUUCUUCUUCCCACUCUCUAAAUAUUGAAGUGCCAGGAGUCACUCCACAGCUGUCUUUCCUUCUCCACCUGUAUGCCUUCCUGAAGUGAUCUCAUCCGUGUCCUUGGCUUUAGUUCUCAUCACUUGGUCAGUUCAGUCCAGUCGCUCAGUCGUGUCCGACUCUUUGUGACCCUAUGAACCGCAGCACGCCAGUCCUCCCUGUCCAUCACCAACUGCCGGAGUCUACCCAAAGCCAUGUCCAUUGAGUCAGUGAUGCCAUCCAACCAUCUCAUCUUCUGUGGUCCCCCUCUCCUCCUGCCCUCAAUAUUUCCCAGCAUCAGGGUCUUUUCAAAUGAGUCAGUUCUUCGCAUCAGGUGGCCAAAGUAUUGGAGUUUCAGCUUCAACAUCGCUUGGUCAGUGGCUCCCAGAUAAAUAUCUCCAGCCUGGUUCUAAUCUGUGAACUCUGAGCUGACUUGGCCUCUCUAAUUGGAUGGCCAGUAGACACCACAGACUUAAACUGCCCCGAACUGAGCUUUUGGUAUCAACUCCGCUCCCCCAACCUGUUCCUUCUGUCUGCUUAGUCUCUCGUUUCACACAACAAUAAUCCCAUCCUUCUAAAAGGCUCAGGACAGACUUAAUCUUGAGUUAACCUUGCAGUUAAUCUUGACUCCCCUUUUUCUUAAACACCUUGCUCAAUUUUGCAGAAAACUUGCAUGUUCUACUUUCAAAAUAUAUUCAGAACUUGCCCACUUUCCUUCACAGUCUUCUGGUGGAGCCGCCACUGUCACUCACCUGGACUGUUGUAGUCACCAGUGUCCGUCAUGGGGUUUUCCCUGUUUCUACCUCCAGCCCGUUUCAGUGGGUCAGCCCGAGCUGUCCUGUUGAAACAAGUCAGCUCAUGUUCUUUGCUCAGAAGCCCCCAAAGCAUGCCGUCUCAAUAAGUUCAAUCCACAGUCCUCACGGUGAUCUUCAACGUCCACAUGAUGUGCCCACAACCCAGCUCUCCAGCCUCACCCCCUGCAGUCCCAUCUUCACUCGUCUCCACCACACUGGCCUCCUCAGUUUCCUUGUAUGUGCCAAGCAAGUUUCUGCCCUAGAGCAGGGAUUAGAACCAAGGUCUCUCAGAUCCCAAAGCCUAUUUCUAAAUCCAAAUAAUUUAAUUGAGUAUCCCCAGAAAUCAUAAUCAGAAUAUUCUCAUAGAGACAUAGCACCUAAAUUUUUAAAAAUUCCUUUAUUAAAAAGAAUUCUGAACAUAUGCUUUAUUGUGCUGGGCUAUUUCUUAAUAAUGUGAUAUAAACAGUUGUAAGACUUUAAAAAAAGGUCUAGCAGAGUUCUGUGAUGUAUGAUAUAUGCAGAUUGUCUUAAUUAAUAUAAAAUCAUCUAAAUACUGUCAACAAAUAUUUAGGGUCUAUUCAGUGCCUGCACCUACAAUGACACCACAGGUGUCAAGCCCAUGUUGGAGUAGGGGGAUGAUGUACUGGCGAAUGAGAGAAAUAGAGACAGAAAUUGAGAAGGAGGGAGAGAAACUGGAGAGGCCCAGGUGAUUUUGCAAAAGGGACUGUCAGGUAGGUGCCUUUGUCCAAAAGGAAAUAGGACAAUGACUGUUAAAAGAAUUUGGAAUGCAUGUCUUAUUCAACAAUAUAAUACCAGUUAGUGAAUUCAUCAUGUUAGCAAACUGAAGAAUAAAAAUUUUAAGAUAGUAGGUGCAGAAAAAGCAUUUGAUAGCAUUCAACACUCAUUUGUGAUUUAAAAAAUAACUCUUAGGAAACUAGAAAUAGAAGUACAUUUAUCAAUAG